rnacentral:tRNA from 1 species
CUAAGGAUGAUCCUUCAGAUAGCUUGCUAUCUAUCGGAUCGUUUUAGAAACAUCAGUGGCCAACAAUCGUCAGGAUUGUUGAGCUGCAUUGGCGGGAUUUCGCCGUCUUCGUUUCUCUUUCUUCGCGGACGAACACGCGCCAGGGGCUUAGCGCUGUGCGAAGGUUUGGCGCUUGUGCGAUGCAUUGGCGUGAGCCGAUUGCGCGCGAGCUUAAGUCCCUCGUGUUAGGGGCUUGUAGCUCAGUUGGUUAGAGCGCGCGCUUGAUAAGCGUGAGGUCGGAAGUUCAAGUCUUCCCAGGCCCACCACGCUUCGCCGUUGGCUACGCGUGGCGCAGCCACGCGACAUGACAAAGCGAAGCGUGCCCGGCAUAGCCCAAAGGGCGACGACGGGCCUAAGGGAGCAUUCGUCUUCUGGUACGGGGCCAUAGCUCAGCUGGGAGAGCGCGUGCUUUGCAAGCAUGAGGUCGUCGGUUCGAUCCCGUCUGGCUCCACCAGAUGAAAUCGAAGAUCGAGAGUGCCUCGAAUAAUCGUCCGCGAAACAUCACUUCGCAUGCAUUGUCCGGAUGGGCAGUGACAUGCGUGAUAUCUGACAUCGUAAAGAGGAGAUCGAUCCGAGUUUGGGAUCUGCAAAGCAAUUUGCGGAAUCUCACUCAUAAUCUCCAGGUCAUUUCGGCGCUCGCUCAUCGCAAGAUGAUCGGGUUGUAAAUGAUCUUUUUAGCGAAGCUUGACCGCCUCGCUAUCGGUUCGAUCUUACGAAGCAAGCUGGUCUUUCUAAUCAGUGUCCGGCUGCGCAUAGCACUCAUCGAGGGUGCGUGCCUUCACAGGCAAUUGCGCAGACAACAUUCUGCCGAGUGUGUGGACAUUGAUAAUGAGAGC